rnacentral:rRNA from 1 species
AGAGUUUGAUCAUGGCUCAGAACGUACGCUGGCGGCACGCCUAACACAUGCAAGUCGAACGAAGUAGCAAUACUUAGUGGCAGACGGGUGAGUAACAUGUAGGUAUCUACCCUUUGGCCUGGAAUAACACGAGGAAACUUGUGCUAAUACUGGAUAAGUCUUUACGGAGAAAGCUUUACGCACCAUUGGAUGAGCCCGCACUUGAUUAGUUUGUUGGUGGGGUAAUGGCCUACCAAGACUGUGAUCAAUAGCUGAUUUGAGAGGAUGAUCAGCCACAUUGGGACUGAGACACGGCCCAAACUCCUACGGGAGGCAGCAGUGGGGAAUCUUGCACAAUGGAGGAAACUCUGAUGCAGCGAUGCCGCGUGAGUGAAGAAGGCCCUUGGGUUGUAAAGCUCUUUCGUCGGGGAAGAAAAUGACUGUACCCGAAUAAGAAGGUCCGGCUAACUUCGUGCCAGCAGCCGCGGUAAUACGAAGGGACCUAGCGUAGUUCGGAAUUACUGGGCUUAAAGAGUUCGUAGGUGGUUGAAAAAGUUGGUGGUGAAAUCCCAGAGCUUAACUCUGGAACUGCCAUCAAAACUUUUCAGCUAGAGUUUGAUAGAGGAAAGCAGAAUUUCUAGUGUAGAGGUGAAAUUCGUAGAUAUUAGAAAGAAUACCAAUUGCGAAGGCAGCUUUCUGGAUCAUUACUGACACUGAGGAACGAAAGCAUGGGUAGCGAAGAGGAUUAGAUACCCUCGUAGUCCAUGCCGUAAACGAUGUGUGUUAGACGUUGGAAAUUAAUUUUCAGUGUCGCAGCGAAAGCGAUAAACACACCGCCUGGGGAGUACGACCGCAAGGUUAAAACUCAAUGAAUUGACGGGGACCCGCACAAGUAGUGGAGCAUGUGGUUUAAUUCGAAGAUACGCGCAGAACCUUACCAACACUUGACAUGUUCGUCGCGACUUUAAGAGAUUAAAGUUUUCGGUUCGGCCGGACGAAACACAGGUGCUGCAUGGCUGUCGUCAGCUCGUGUCGUGAGAUGUUGGGUUAAGUCCCGCAACGAGCGCAACCCUCACUUUUAGUUGCCAUCAUUUAGUUGGGCACUCUGAAAGAACUGCCAGUGAUAAGCUGGAGGAAGGUGGGGAUGACGUCAAGUCCUCAUGGCCCUUACGUGUUGGGCUACACACGUGCUACAAUGGUAUCUACAACAGGAAGCGAAACAGCGAUGUUAAGCAAAUCCUUAAAAGAUACCUCAGUUCGGAUUGCACUCUGCAACUCGAGUGCAUGAAGCUGGAAUUACUAGUAAUCGUGGAUCAGCGUGCCACGGUGAAUGCGUUCCCGGGUCUUGUACACACCGCCCGUCACACCAUGGGAGUUGGUUCUACCUUAAGGCAAGGUUUAAUACCCUUGACCACGGUAUAGUCAGCGACUGGGGUGAAGUCAUAACAAGGUAACCGUA